rnacentral:rRNA from 1 species
UACAGAGGUCUCAAGCGUUGUUCGGAUUCAUUGGGCGUAAAGGGUGCGUAGGUGGGAAUGUAAGUCAGUGGUGAAAUCUCUGAGCUUAACUCAGAAACUGCCAUUGAUACUAUGUUUCUUGAAUUUUCGUGGAGGUCAGCGGAAUAUGUCAUGUAGCGGUGAAAUGCUUAGAUAUGACAUAGAACACCAAUUGCGAAGGCAGCUGGCUACAGGGAUAUUGACACUGAGGCACGAAAGCGUGGGGAUCAAACAGG